GACGAACGCUGGCGGCGUGCUUAACACAUGCAAGUCGAACGGAAAGGCCCUGCUUUUGCGGGGUGCUCGAGUGGCGAACGGGUGAGUAACACGUGAGUAACCUGCCCUUGACUUUGGGAUAACAUCAGGAAACUGGGGCUCAUACCGGAUAGGAGCUCCUGCUGCACGGUGGGGGUUGGAAAGUUUCGGCGGUUGGGGAUGGACUCGCGGCUUAUCAGCUUGUUGGUGGGGUAGUGGCUUACCAAGGCUUUGACGGGUAGCCGGCCUGAGAGGGUAACCGGCCACAUUGGGACUGAGAUACGGCCCAGACGCCAACGGGAGGCAGCAGUGGGGAAUAUUGCACAAUGGGCGGAAGCCUGAUGCAGCAACGCCGCGUGCGGGAUGACGGCCUUCGGGUUGUAAACCGCUUUCGCCUGUGACGAAGCGUGAUUGACGGUAAUGGGUAAAGAAGCACCGGCUAACUACGUG
rnacentral:rRNA from 1 species